GAUGAACGCUGGCGGCGUGCCUAAUACAUGCAAGUCGAGCGAACGGACGAGAAGCUUGCUUCUCUGAUGUUAGCGGCGGACGGGUGAGUAACACGUGGAUAACCUACCUAUAAUACUGGGAUAACUUCGGGAAACCGUAGCUAAUACCGGAUAAUAUUUUGAACCGCAUUGUUCAAAAGUGAAAGUCGGUCUUGCUGUCACUUAUCGAUGGAUCCGCGCUGCAUUAGCUAGUUGGUAAGGUAACGGCUUACCAAGGCUACGAUGCAUAGCCGACCUGAGAGAGUGAUCGGCCACACUGGAACUGAGACACGGUCCAGACUCCUGCGGGAGGCAGCAGUAGGGAAUCUGCCGCAAUGGGCGAAAGCAUGACGGAGCAACGCCGCGUGAGUGAUGAAGGUCUUCGGAUCGUAAAACUCUGUUAUUAGGGAAGAACAUAUGUGUAAGUAACUGUGCACAUCGUGACGGUACCUAAUCAGAAAGCCACGGCUAACUACGUG
rnacentral:rRNA from 1 species